rnacentral:rRNA from 1 species
UACGGGGGGAGCAAGCGUUGUUCGGAUUUACUGGGCGUAAAGGGCGCGUAGGCGGCCACUGCAAGUCGGUUGUGAAAUCUCCGGGCUUAACUCGGAACGGCCAAUCGAUACUGACGUGCUAGAGUGCAGAAAGGGCAAUCGGAAUUCUUGGUGUAGCGGUGAAAUGCGUAGAUAUCAAGAGGAACACCUGAGGCGAAGGCGGGUUGCUAGGCUGACACUGACGCUGAGUGCGCGAAAGCCAGAGGAGCAAACGGG